rnacentral:rRNA from 1 species
AAUAUUGGACAAUGGGGGCAACCCUGAUCCAGCCAUGCCGCGUGUGUGAAGAAGGUCUUCGGAUUGUAAUGCACUUUAGGUUGGGAGGAAGGCCAUUAGGUUAAUACCCUGAAGUUUUGACGUUACCAACAGAAUAAGCACCGGCUACUUCUGUGCCAGCAGCCGCGGCAAUACAGAGGGUGCAAGCGUUAAUCGGAAUUACUGGUCGUAAAGUGCGCGUAGGUGGUUCAGUAAGAUGGGUGUGAAAUGCACGGGCUUAACCUGGGAACUGCUUUCAUAACUGCUGAGCUAGAGUACGGUAGAGGGUAGUGGAAUUUCCUGUGUAGCGGUGAAAUGCGUAGAUAUAGGAAGGAACACCAGUGGCGAAGGCGACUACCUGGACUGAUACUGACACUGAGGUGCGAAAGCGUGGGGAGCAAAC